GAAUGUCGCAAGAGCUUAUCCUCCUCCCGAGCUCAUGCGAUCGAAGGUCGGCCCUCCUCCUCCCGGCCGACCUUACCUAAAGGCGCUCGCUGUCCUCCUCCCCAGCGAGUGCCGCAGU
rnacentral:sRNA from 1 species